rnacentral:rRNA from 1 species
CCCUUAGAUGUUCGGGGCCGCACGCGCGUUACACUGAAGGAAUCAGCACGUCUUUCUCCUUGUCCGAAAGGACUGGGUAACCCGCUGAACCUCCUUCGUGCUAGGGAUUGGGGCUUGUAAUUCUUCCCCAUGAACGAGGAAUUCCCAGUAAGCGCGAGUCAUAAGCUCGCGUUGAUUACGUCCCUGCCCUUUGUACACACCGCCCGUCGCUACUACCGAUUGGAUGGUUUAGUGAGAUCCUCGGAUUGGUCCCGGAGCGGCCUCUGGUCGUGCCGGAGUGCCGAAAAGAAUGUCGAACUUGAUCAUCUAGAGGAAGUAAAAGUCGUAACA